UUUCAAGUAGGAGAGAAUGACGUGUGUUCGUCAACCGAACCACAGAACCUGGUUCAGGAUUUGCUGGAUCCUCUGAACUACCUGCGGUGACUACGGCCGGCUAAGUCAGUGAUUAGGAAGUCUUUUUUAAGGGUAAAACCAUGGAACGUGUCUGCCUAAAGGCGGAAGGUGGAGGAGGCGGACAGGCGUCUGAAGAGGAUGUUAAGACGCCGUCUGGAUGCGACCUAGACUUGCACAAGCCUGAGAGACGACACCUGUCAUCCGUUUUGGGGACGCCGAGGAAAGAACGUCUAUUGCAAGCCCAACCUUCAAGUGAAGAGAAAAAUGACCGACUAUCAUCCCGGGCCCUCCUGGGAAAGUCAUCCGGGCCCUCCUGGGAAAGUUUCGUGAGGUGACACUCGGGUGAAUGAAGAGGUCGAUGCCCAUGAUGUGAAGGUUUAAAGGCGUUUUGUUCAAGUGGGAGAGAAUGACAACUGAUCUCCAGAGACAAGUCCAGAUUAUGUUGGUUCUGGACUCUGUGGUGCAAAAAGGCCGGGAUCAUUGGAAGCGUAUUAUUGAGGGUCUAGUUGAAUAACAUAACGGUGUCUGCCUAUAGACGAAAUGUGGAGCCGAGGAAGAGGCGUUUGAAGAGGAUGCCAAGGUGCAACUGCUAUACGAGGAAGGGUUUGGUUGGGACAGUGUCCACCUGACUCAAAAGCCAAUGCACAAUUCUGACUUACUAAGUUUUGACUUUCUAUCCGUAAGUUUAUAUUGAAGCACGUUUCAUCAAAUCGAAUCUAAUACUUAUUGACAAGGAAACUGGUAAUACCAA